GACGUAGGGCGCGAGCGUUUGUCCGGAUUUAUUGGGCGUAAAGAGCUCGUAGGCGGCUCGUUGCGUCGGCUGUGAAAACCCGCAGCUCAACUCCGGGCCUGCAGUCGAUACGGGCAAACUGGAGUGUUGCAGGGGAGACUGGAAUUCCUGGUGUAGCGGUGAAAAUGCGCAGAUAUCAGGAGGAACACCGGUGGCGAAGGCGGUUCUCUGGGCCUUACCUGACGCUGAGGAGCGAAAGCGUGGGGAGCAAACGGG
rnacentral:rRNA from 1 species